AUGCUAGACAAGAAAGCAGCAAAGGCAAUUAAAACAGUGCCUUUAUCCAACGACACUGUAUGCCGUCGUAUUGAUGAUAUGGCUGAAGAUAUCGUUGCACAGGUGGUGGACAACUUAAAAUGGACUACAAGUUUUGCUUUACAGUUAGACGAGUCAACUGACAUUAGUAGCAAAUCACAAUUUGAUUGAUUUACCUGGAUUUUCUUUCUUCAUUGUACUGCUUGCAAAGAACUGUUCUUGUUCUCUGUUGUUAAUUUUGUUGGAGACAAUGAACAGUUCUGUUAUGGUGGUUGGUACAGGCUUGAUUGUCUUCAGUGUUCCCUAGGCAGUCAACCUUUGUCUGAGGUUAAAACUGCCCUUGUGUUUAGGAUCUUGGAAAAAAUCUAUUAUCUUGUAGAAAUGUACUUGCCACGUAACUAAGCACACUUAGAAAACUCUGAAUGUAAGUGUUUGGGAUGCAUGAUAUAAUGGUACCAUAUAGGUUAUUCGCCAUUAGAUUUUCAAAACACUUAGUGGUAUUGAUCAAUAUUGAAUUUUUAUUUGCACAUGCUUGUUGUUACAUUUAAAUUACCUUCUAACAUCUCUCUUAAAUUUAAUCUUAAGGUAUAAUCAUAAUUUACUCUCAAGUCAUUCCAAACCUUUAUGACUUUUAUUCUUGUAACUUCAUUGGAAAAAUUGUCUCUAUUUUUCAUACAGUGGUACCUUAAUCUGCUUGAUUAACAGCAUUCUUCAAAAGUAUCUUUUGUGUUCCGCAGAAGAAAAAAAAGGCAUACAGGUUUGGAACGACACGAGGGUGAGUAAAUGAUGAAAUAAUUUUUAGGUAAACUGUCCCGUUAAAUAUAAACUUUAGUAAAACUCAAAAUGAAUAUCCAUUAUUCUGAACAUUUAUAAUAUUGUGAUGCAUGCAUUCACUUGCAGUUAUUUUAAUUUUUAAUGUUUCAGUUUUAUUUUGUUUGGAUGAAAUAUAAUUUUAAAAUCAGUCAUUUAUUGAUUAUUUGCCAUACCAUGAAAGUAAUUUUCAGCUUUUAGAUAUUGGCCAGGAUUUUAAAAAUAGAUUUCUGUUUGUAACUGUGUGUUAAUACAAAGAGUUCAUUAAUAUUACUACCAUAACCAAUCAACUUGAUACAACAAUAUAAUUUAGGAAAAAAAUAAACAUACACUAUUAUGCAGCACCAACCAUUAUCAAUAUGAAAUCAAAUCUGCAGAUAACUGUACAGAUUAUUUCUGUAUCCGUAAUUACAAAGUUGAUCCAUAAGAAACACAAGAGAUGGAAGUGUUGCUCAUGUUUGAGUCUGAUGCACAUAUAGGUAGUUUAUGUGGGGUGUUUAGCCCUCCGCUCUAAUAUAAUGGGGGUAAGCAGUCUCUUCACUACCCCAGUAUCCUCUGAGAUAACACUACCAAUUAGUCUGCGGUUUCCUGACAUUCAGCCUUCAAAGCUGAGAGGCAGGAGCUUUUAUUCCUAAACAUCAAAGACUAUUAUUCUUUCUUUUCUCUCUUCAAAUCAACAUCUAGCCCCAGGAUCUAGCACCAUCCCCCUCUGCACCCCUCCCUUAUGCUGUGAGUAGCAGGGAAUAGACUCCGAUCAGAACACAAGCAGCAAUGGAAGCCUAAGAAAACAAGAGGAGCUGUUGCUCAUACAGCAGAGAUGUCAAAUUGUUUAUUGUCUUUCCUUUAACUCUCCCUCCCUCUUCAUUCUCACAGCCCUAGUCAAUCUCACUGUUUGUAUUGAAGCUGAUUAUUGUGAAAUAGCUGCAGAAGUGUGCAUAUCUAAAAAAACAAAAAAGUGCCACAGCUCUCUCUUGCUCUCUCUCUCUGGGUGGAGGAAACACAGAAGUAUGAUAGCUGUGCGCUAUGAGAUUUAAAAAUGUAUGACCUACGUGCACAUUUGUGAAAAAAUAUUUUAAAUAUAAGAGCUCCUGUUCCCAAUUGAGAUGGAGAGCUGUGCCUACUGUAUGAAAGAGAGAGAAAUGUGUAAUAAAAUGGGCAAGGAGAACUCUUUACUCAGAGCACAGAAAGCUAUAUUUCUUUCAUAUUAUUGAUUACAUGCACGUAACACAUAAGAGCCUUUAAAUUCCUUCCUCUAAAACGAUCCUGCAUUCUGUACUUAUCACUUCCUUCUACUUUUUGAAUAUUUCUGCUACAUAUUUCUGCUAUAUUGCACACAUUUAGACAGCAAAACAACUUUGCAUAAUAUACUGGCCUAAAUAACAAUAAUAGUUAUGAGGAUAAUAAUUUAUUGUUAGUAUUAUUAUUAUUAUUAUUAUUAUAACAAUAAUACAAUUAUUAUUAAUAUUAUUAAAAUAAUUAUUGAUUGUUUUUAAAGGGCCCCUUUUUACAAGAUGUAAUAAAAGGCUCAGUUGUACUUCCGGUGUGGGAACGCUGUGUGCGUCUGGCUGCCACCCUGCGCUGGGUUGUUGUUUGUUUGUUUUGUGAUUGUCUGUGUUCUUUUUGGUCUUGGUGACUCGGGCAGUCUUUCCAUACUUUUUUUUACUCGAUCUCAGCUCAGCUUUGGAUACUGUCUGUCAUAAGUUAUUAUUCAUGUGCCUCUCAGAGAUUGGCAUCUCAGGAGCUGCGUUAUCCUGGUUUUCUUCUUAUUUGACAGACAGACUAUACUACAUCACCAUGCAUAACUAUAAAUCUCCCACUGCCUUACUCAAACAGGGUGUUCCUCAGGGCUCAGUUUUCGGGCCAUUAUUAUUUAUUAUUUAAAUAAUGCCCCUCUGACAAAUUAUUUGCCGCCAUGGUUUUCGGUACCACUAUGCCAACGAUAUUCAUAUUGCUUACGGAUCUGACUCUAUUCACUAGACUGCAUCUCUAUCUUCAUGCGCCAACGAGUAAAAGACCUGGCUAAACUGUAAUUUUCUCAGUUUGAAUUUGACUAAAAUAGAAUUCUUACUUGUUGGUCCUCCAACUCUAACAAAAAAUAUAACCAAUGCCCCCAGACUUGACCUUGAAUCUACAUCAAUUAUUCCAUCUGCCACCAUCAAAAACUUAGUCAACUCACUAAAGCUGCUUUUUUUUUUUCAAUUUUGCCGUAUUGCCAAACUCUGACCCUUUGUCAGCCCAAAAUAUGCUGAAUCACUAGUGCAUGCAUUUAUCACAUCUAGCCUCGAUUACUGUAUGCUCUUUUUUCACAACGAGAGGGCACUCUAUUUCCCGUUUGCAAUAUUUUCAAAAUUCUGCUGUGAGAAUGUUAACUUACACUAAAUAGAAUAGGAGUAAUAUGAGCAGACCAUUUAAACCUAAAGAUACCGAACCUAAAGACAUAGUGAUAUGUAUCUGAACCCUGGUGCACACCAAACAAGUGGACAGAGACCGCUAAAAAGAUGGGUCUCGGUCUGCUUCCAAACGAACAUUUAUAAAUGAACAUUUAUAUAGCGCUUUUCUGCUUUUCUAAGCACUCAAAGCGCUCUACAUUGUGAGGGGGUAUCUCCUCGUCUACCACCAGUGUGCAGCAUCCACCUGGAUGAUGCGACGGCAGCCAUAGUGUGCCAGAACGCCCACCACACACCAGCUUAUUGGUGGAGAGGAGACAGAGUGAUGAAGCCAGUCAAUAGAUAUGGGGAUU
ensembl:lncRNA